AUUGAACGCUGGCGGCAGGCCUAACACAUGCAAGUCGAACGAGUGGCGGACGGGUGAGUAAUGUCUGGGACACUGCCUGAUGGAGGGGGAUAACUACUGGAAACGGUAGCUAAUACCGCAUACCAUCGGAUGUGCCCAGAUGGGCGUAGCUAGUAGGUGGGGGAACGGCUCACCUAGGCGGCGAUCCCUAGCUGGUCUGAGAGGAUGCCCAGCCACACUGGAACGGAGACACUGUCCAGACUCCUACGGGAGGCAGCAGUGGGGAAUAUUGCACAAUGGGCGCAAGACUGAUGCAGCCAUGCCGCGUGUAUGAAGAAGGCCUUCGGGGUGUAAAGUACUUUCAGCGUGGAGGCGUUACCCGCAGAAGAAGCACCGGCUAACUCCGUGCCAGCAGCCGCGGUAAUAC
rnacentral:rRNA from 1 species